AGUGAACGCUGGCGGUAGGCCUAACACAUGCAAGUCGAACGGCAGCACAGUAAGAGCUUGCUCUUACGGGUGGCGAGUGGCGGACGGGUGAGGAAUACAUCGGAAUCUACUUUUUCGUGGGGGAUAACGUAGGGAAACUUACGCUAAUACCGCAUACGACCUACGGGUGAAAGCAGGGGAUCUUCGGACCUUGCGCGAUUGAAUGAGCCGAUGUCGGAUUAGCUAGUUGGCGGGGUAAAGGCCCACCAAGGCGACGAUCCGUAGCUGGUCUGAGAGGAUGAUCAGCCGCACUGGAACUGGGACACGGUCCAGAGUCCUACGGGAGGCAGCAGUGGGGAAUAUUGGACAAUGGGCCCAAUCCUGAUCCAGCCAUACCGCGUGGGUGAAGAAGGCCUUCGGGUUGUAAAGCCCUUUUGUUGGGAAAGAAAAGCAGCAGGUUAAUACCCCGCUGUUCUGACGGUACCCAAAGAAUAAGCACCGGCUAACUUCGUG
rnacentral:rRNA from 1 species